rnacentral:misc_RNA from 1 species
CCAGCUGAUGGACAAGGCGACGUAGUGAACGGUGCGUACCCGAGGAUGUGGUGAUGUCGCUUCGCAACACCAUUGAGGGUGGCAAGCUGAUUAGUUUUCGACGCAUGACGUGUUGGCACUAGCCCGGCUAGCGAUACGUUGUGCGUAGAAAAUCAUGAAGCGAGCGUUUUAAUGAGGCGAUCAUGUUGGUUUCGUAGCUUUAUUGUUUCUCGCAUCGUUCGGUGCAUUUUUGGGAUUGCUUUGGCUUUUGGUUGCUUGCUUGGCCUUUUGUGCUACGUGGGUGGCUACUAGUCGGGUGGUUUCGGGAAAUGUUUACCGUAAAGGUGCAUGAGUGGUGUUUGGUUUGUUACGGGUGGUUGGAUGUCUUCUAGCGAAGCAACUUCCAUGCGUGCUUACCUCUUCAUUUACGUAGCAAGGCUUGUUUUAGACUUGCUCGUAUUGUGGGUUUUCUGUGUUGCGUACCUAAUCGAAGGCAUUGUAUGGACCGAYUGAAUYUGUUUCCGUCACGCAUCGCACUUGUGGUGCAUGACGGACCAGCAAGUGGUCUCUGUAAUCCAUCUUGUUGUUGUAAACACUACGACGAUAUGGCUUGCUGAGUUUCGCUUGGUGUCUUGGAUACGGAACCUGAUGUGGGCAUAGGGUCUUACAUGAUCCUUUUAUGCCCUCGUUUAGCGUUCUCGCUUCUCUAAAACGAUCACUCGUCGUGUGUUGGCAAGUCCAUGCAUGGCGGGUUGCAUCGAAGAGGAAUGCUACC